UACGUAGGUGACCAGCGUUGUCCGGAUUUACUGGGCGUAAAGAGCGCGCAGGCGGUCGUUCAAGUCGAGUGUGAAAGCCCCCGGCUCAACUGGGGAGGGUCACUCGAUACUGAUCGACUUGAAGGCAGGAGAGGGAAGCGGAAUUCCCGGUGCAGUGGUGAAAUGCGUAGAUAUCGGGAGGAACACCGAUGGCGAAGGCAGCCCCCUGGGCUAACACUGACGCUCAUGCACGAAAGCGUGGGGAGCAAACAGG
rnacentral:rRNA from 1 species